rnacentral:rRNA from 1 species
GAUGAACGCUGGCGGCGUGCUUAACACAUGCCAGUCGAGCGAACAGACGAUGAGCUUGCUGCGCGGACGUGAGGCGCGGAGGGGAGAGAAACGCGUGUAUAAUCUACCUAUAUUACGGGGAUAAUCUGGGGAAACCGGAGCUAAUAGCGGAUGAUAUAUUGAACCGCAGGGUGGAAUAGUAAAAGACGGUUUUUCGGUCAGGUAUAGAUGGAUCGGCGCCUCAUUAGCUGGUUGGUGGGUUAACGGCCUACCAGGGGUACGAUGCGUAGCCGACGUGAGAGGGGGGUCGGCGACACUGGAACGGGGACGCGGUCCAGAGUACUACGGGAGGCAGCAGUAGGGUAGGUGCGGCAAUGGGGGGAAACAUGACGGAGCAGCGCCGCGUGAGUGAUGAAGGUCUUCGGAUCGUAAAGCUCUGUUUUUGGGGAUGAACAAAUGUGUAAGUAACUAUGGACGGCUUGACGGUACCUAGUCAGAAAGCCACGGCUAACUACGUG